GUAGGGGCCGAGCGUUGUCCGGAGUUACUGGGCGUAAAGCGCGCGCAGGCGGCGGUCUUUGCCCGACGUGAAAGCCCCCGGCUCAACCGGGGAGGGUCGUCGGGGACGGGAUCGCUUGAGGUCGGCAGGGGCUGGUGGAAUUCCCGGUGUAGUGGUGAAAUGCGUAGAGAUCGGGAGGAACACCCGUGGCGAAGGCGGCCAGCUGGGCCGGACCUGACGCUGAGGCGCGAAGGCGUGGGGAGCGAACGGGAUUAGAUACCCCGGUAGUCCACGCAGUAAACGAUGCAGACUAGGCGUGGGGGGACUUGACCCCCUCCGUGCCGCAGCCAACGCGUGAAGUCUGCCGCCUGGGGAGUACGGCCGCAAGGCUAAA
rnacentral:rRNA from 1 species